CCUACGGGAGGCAGCAGUGAGGAAUAUUGGUCAAUGGGCGAGAGCCUGAACCAGCCAAGUCGCGUGAAGGAUGACGGCCCUACGGGUUGUAAACUUCGUUUGUCAGGGAGCAAGUGGGUCCACGCGUGGGCUUAGCGAGAGGACCUGAAGAAAAAGCAGCGGCUAACUCCGUGCCAGCAGCCGCGGUAAUACGGAGGAUGCGAGCGUUAUCCGGGUUGAUUGGGUGUAAAGGGUGCGUAGGCGGAAUAUCAAGUCAGCGGUAAAAAUUCGGGGCUCAACCCCGUCGUGCCGUUGAAACUGCUGUUCUUGCGUGGGCGAGACGUAUGCGUACUGCGUGUUGUCGCGG
rnacentral:rRNA from 1 species